rnacentral:rRNA from 1 species
AUUGAACGCUGGCGGCAGGCCUAACACAUGCAAGUCGAACGGUAACAGGAAGAAGCUUGCUUCUUUGCUGACGAGUGGCGGACGGGUGAGUAAUGUCUGGGAAACUGCCUGAUGGAUGGGGAUAACUACUGGAAACGGUAGCUAAUACCGCAUAAUGUCGCAAGACCAAAGAGGGGGACCUUCGGGCCUCUUGCCAUCGGAUGUGCCCAGAUGGGAUUAGCUAGUAGGUGGGGUAACGGCUCACCUAGGCGACGAUCCCUAGCUGGUCUGAGAGGAUGACCAGCCACACUGGAACUGAGACACGGUCCAGACUCCUACGGGAGGCAGCAGUGGGGAAUAUUGCACAAUGGGCGCAAGCCUGAUGCAGCUAUGCCGCGUGUAUGAAGAAGGCCUUCGGGUUGUAAAGUACUUUCAGCGGGGAGGAAGGGAGUAAAGUUAAUACCUUUGCUCAUUGACGUUACCCGCAGAAGAAGCACCGGCUAACUCCGUG